rnacentral:rRNA from 1 species
CUUUUGGAGCGGCCGAUGUCUGAUUAGCUAGUUGGUGAGGUAAAGGCUUACCAAGGCGACGAUCAGUAGCUGGUCUGAGAGGACGACCAGCCACACUGGGACUGAGACACGGCCCAGACUCCUACGGGAGGCAGCAGUGGGGAAUUUUGGACAAUGGGGGAAACCCUGAUCCAGCCAUGCCGCGUGAGUGAAGAAGGCCUUCGGGUUGUAAAGCUCUUUCAGCCGGAACGAAACGGUCACGGCUAAUACCGGUGACUAAUGACGGUACCGGAAGAAGAAGCACCGGCUAACUACGUGCCAGCAGCCGCGGUAAUACGUAGGGUGCGAGCGUUAAUCGGAAUUACUGGGCGUAAAGCGUGCGCAGGCGGUUUUGUUAGUCAGAUGUGAAAUCCCCGGGCUUAACCUGGGAACUGCGUUUGAAACUACAAAGCUAGA